rnacentral:rRNA from 1 species
CGAACGCUGGCGGCGUGCUUAACACAUGCAAGUCAAGGGGAAAGCAGUCUUCGGAUUGUGAGUAUACUGGCGAACGGGUGAGUAACGCGUAGGCGACCUGCCUCUAAAUUUGGGAUAACACUGCUAACGCGGUGCUAAUACCGGAUAAGGCUUAUUUGCUGCAUGGCGAAUAUGUCAAAGCGGGCUUUCGGGCUCGUGUUUAGAGAUGGGCCUGCGUCCCAUUAGUUAGUUGGCGGGGUAACGGCCCACCAAGACGACGAUGGGUAGCCGACCUGAGAGGGUGAUCGGCCACACUGGGACUGAGAUACGGCCCAGACUCCUACGGGAGGCAGCAGUGAGGAAUAUUGCGCAAUGGAGGAAACUCUGACGCAGCAACGCCGCGUGCGGGAUUAAGCUUUUAGGAGUGUAAACCGCUGUUAGAAGGGACGAAUAAGUACUGUUCAAACAGGUCAGUACGAUGACGGUACCUUCAGAGGAAGCCCCGGCUAACUCC